UCUCAACACUUUUGUCUCUUCUGCUCCAGUUGGCUCGCUGCAAGAAAUUUCUCAACACUUUUUGGAUGUUAUCAUGAAAUCCAACAACUCAUGCGGAAAGAGUUUUGAAGUAUUGGGACAAGUUUUGAAUUGUCUUGAGGCUUGUCGACAAACGGUAUCUUGUGAUGGUGAGGAGUUUACUGGUCCAGAAUACAGAUCUCAUCUCAUCAACAAAAUCUGCAGUGUCAGGUGGCCCCAAAACAACAUCC